rnacentral:lncRNA from 1 species
AGGAAUUUUCCAGCUCUGGGAGAGACAGUUUUUUCAGGAUCAAGACUCCAGAUGCCAGAGCAUCAAGAAUACAAAAAAUAUGAAAGUACAGUCAACUGAGGGGAACUUCCAAGCCAGGAAAUAAAAUAGAGUGUCUUCUCCUUCUUGGAAUGUAACUCUGAAAGCUCACCCUGACUUGUUCACAUGUUUAUUGGGUAAUUUGAUAUUGGAUUCCAGUUUGAAUGAGACCUCCCUCCUGAAAGUGAACACGUCCCCUCAACUUCUCCAGCAAAUCCAUCCUCUGAAAUUACACCCAAGCACUUUUAUCGUGGACCCAUUUAAACAAAGAGGAUAUGAGAAUAACUGA